GACGAACGCUGGCGGCGUGCUUAACACAUGCAAGUCGAACGGAAAGGCCCCUUUGGGGGUACUCGAGUGGCGAACGGGUGAGUAACACGUGAGUAACCUGCCCUUGACUUCGGGAUAACUUCAGGAAACUGGGGCUAAUACCGGAUAGGAAUCCUUGCUGCAUGGUGGGGGUUGGAAAGCUUCGGCGGUUUUGGAUGGACUCGCGGCUUAUCAGCUUGUUGGUGGGGUAGUGGCUUACCAAGGCUUUGACGGGUAGCCGGCCUGAGAGGGCGACCGGCCACAUUGGGACUGAGAUACGGCCCAGACGCCUACGGGAGGCAGCAGUGGGGAAUAUUGCACAAUGGGCGGAAGCCUGAUGCAGCAACGCCGCGUGCGGGAUGACGGCCUUCGGGUUGUAAACCGCUUUCAGCAGGGGCGAAGCUUGUGGUGACGGUACCUGCAGAAGAAGCACCGGCUAACUACGUG
rnacentral:rRNA from 1 species